rnacentral:rRNA from 1 species
UACAGAGGGGGCAAGCGUUGUUCGGAAUUACUGGGCGUAAAGGGCGCGUAGGCGGCCUUCUAAGUCGAACGUGAAAUCCCCGGGCUCAACCCGGGAACUGCGUCCGAUACUGGAAGGCUUGAAUCCGGGAGAGGGAUGCGGAAUUCCAGGUGUAGCGGUGAAAUGCGUAGAUAUCUGGAGGAACACCGGUGGCGAAGGCGGCAUCCUGGACCGGCAUUGACGCUGAGGCGCGAAAGCCAGGGGAGCAACGGGG